rnacentral:tRNA from 1 species
GGGUCGGUAGCGAAGUGGACAAACGCUCGACGCUGUAAACGUCGCGGCUUCGGCCUUCGGGGGUUCGAAUCCCUCCCGGCCCA